UACGGAGGGGGCUAGCGUUAUUCGGAAUUACUGGGCGUAAAGCGCACGUAGGCGGCUUUGUAAGUCAGAGGUGAAAGCCUGGAGCUCAACUCCAGAACUGCCUUUGAGACUGCAUCGCUUGAAUCCAGGAGAGGUGAGUGGAAUUCCGAGUGUAGAGGUGAAAUUCGUAGAUAUUCGGAACAACACCAGUGGCGAAGGCGGCUCACUGGACUGGUAUUGACGCUGAGGUGCGAAAGCGUGGGGAGCAAACAGG
rnacentral:rRNA from 1 species